UCUGGCUGUUUGGAAAGCCUGGAGAGGAGACCACAUGAAAAGCCUUUCAAGGUUUUCUCAGAGAACACAGAAUGCACAGCACUGACAGGAUCUGGCCAAGCCUGGUACAACAGCUGGGAAGGAAAUGCUGGAUUUCUGACAUUUCUAAAACUUCUGACCCUCAAGUCGUUGUGAUGAAAUCAAAGAAACUGGAAGGAGAUGGCAGCACUGGGAAAGCAGCUUGUUUGGCAAGGAACUCCCCUACAAAGAACAUCAGCUUGGAGAUGCCCUCUCAGGAGGUCGUCUAUGAACAGGGCACAUCCAUUUUGACAUCAGAGGGGUUGUACAAUGCAAUUAAAGUGGUCAGGCUGACAAAAGACACGGAGGUGACCUGCAUGGCCAAAUUUGACAACCGCAUGAUAACAGCACAGCCAGAAGAGAAGCCUGAAGAACCAGUAACAGGGUUUGGGGAACCAAACAGAACCAGAACAGUGUCAGAGGCCAGUGACAGGGUUUGCAACAGCACAGCCCCCUCAGCACAAGACCCUGAAGAGCAGAGAGUGAACAUGCUGUCCAUGGCUGUGCUGGGUUUGAGAGUCCUGCUGGCAAAAGGCAUCGCCUUCAAUAUCCUCAUGAGUAUCAAAUUGGUUCUUUUCUGAGACAUGGGGAAUGAACCUGAAGAAGAGCAGGAAAGAAUGUGAACCAGCAGCACAAGGGGGUGGAACAAGCAGGGGCAGAGCUGCUGGCAGACACCACCCAGGACACAAGGCAGCACCUUCCCCUGAAGACACUGAACACUCUUCACUCCUGCCUGCCCAGCUGAUUUACACUGAAGAGUUUCAAGUGCUUUUGCUGCUUCCUCUCCUCUGACAACUGAGGAGAGUGGAUUUCUCCUCAUCCUCCUGCUAAGCAGAUCUCCCCACUCUUCUGGCAUUUGCACACAAGUGUCCAACCUGCUUCAACAGCUUUGGAAACUCCAGGGCUCACUCUAGAUAGAUGGCCUUUUAAAAGCACCUUUCCCAAGCAUGCUGUGUUUCUGCCUGUGGAACUGGAGAAGCACUGCUGGGGCAAUUCAAGCCCAGUAGCUGCCAUUUGUAGCUUUGGGUUUUAGAUAGAUUCAAUAAAUGUGUAUUGCAGCUAAGAAGAGCUCUGUAAAAUCUGGAGUGAUUUAAUUUAUCCAGACAAUGUCAAUUUCUUU